AACGCUGGCGGCGUGCUUAACGACAUGCAAGUCGAACGGAAAGGCCCUGCUUUGUGGGGUGCUCGAGUGGCGAACGGGUGAGUAACACGUGAGUAACCUGCCCUUGACUUUGGGAUAACUUCAGGAAACUGGGGCUAAUACCGGAUAGGAGCUCCUGCUGCAUGGUGGGGGUUGGAAAGUUUCGGCGGUUGGGGAUGGACUCGCGGCUUAUCAGCUUGUUGGUGGGGUAGUGGCUUACCAAGGCUUUGACGGGUAGCCGGCCUGAGAGGGUGACCGGCCACAUUGGGACUGAGAUACGGCCCAGACUCCUACGGGAGGCAGCAGUGGGGAAUAUUGCACAAUGGGCGGAAGCCUGAUGCCAGCAACGCCGCGUGCGGGAUGACGGCCUUCGGGUUGUAAACCGCUUCCGCCUGUGACGAAGCGUGAGUGACGGUAAUGGGUAAAGAAGCACCGGCUAACUACGUGCCAGCCGCCGC
rnacentral:rRNA from 1 species